rnacentral:rRNA from 1 species
UACGGGGGGGGGCAAGCGUUGUUCGGAAUUACUGGGCGUAAAGGGCCAGUAGGCGGCCAACUAAGUCGGAUGUGAAAUCCCCCAGGCUUAACCUGGGAACUGCAUCCGAUACUGGAUGGCUUGAAUUCGGGAGAGGGAUGCAGAAUUCCAGGUGUAGCGGUGAAAUGCGUAGAUAUCUGGAGGAAUACCGGUGGCGAAGGCGGCAUCCUGGACCGACAUUGACGCUGAACGGCGAAAGCUAGGGGAGCGAAACAGGG